UAAGGAAUAUUGGUCAAUGGACGCAAGUCUGAACCAGCCAUGCCGCGUGAAGGAUGAAGGUCCUCUGGAUUGUAAACUUCUUUUAUCUGGGACGAAAACGGGAUUUUUAUCUCAAUUGACGGUACCAGAGGAAUAAGCACCGGCUAACUCCGUGCCAGCAGCCGCGGUAAUACGGAGGGUGCGAGCGUUAUCCGGAUUUACUGGGUUUAAAGGGUGCGUAGGUGGGCUUAUAAGUCAGUGGUGAAAUCUCCGAGCUUAACUUGGAAACUGCCGUUGAUACUAUAGGUCUUGAAUUAUCUGGAGGUAAGCGGAGUAUGUCAUGUAGCGGUGAAAUGCUUAGAUAUGACAUAGAACACCAAUUGCGAAGGCAGCUUACUACAUAUAAAUUGACGCUGAGGCACGAAAGCGUGGGGAUCAAACG
rnacentral:rRNA from 1 species